rfam:Bombyx mori DNA, contig: Bm_scaf223_contig41746, strain: p50T/Dazao, build 2, whole genome shotgun sequence.
UUAACUCAAACUUGUAUGGAGUUGGAGCGUUUGCGUACGUUAGCCGCUAGGGGCGCUGUUCCAACUGCUUACAAAUUUUAGUUA